rnacentral:tRNA from 1 species
GACGAUAUCGCCAAGUGGUAAGGCCAAAGAUUGCAAAUCUUUUAUCCCCCAGUUCGAAUCUGGGUGUCGUCU